rnacentral:rRNA from 1 species
ACAGGAUUAGAUACCCUGGUAGUCCACGCCCUAAACGAUGCGAACUGGAUGUUGGGUGCAAUUUGGCACGCAGUAUCGAAGCUAACGCGUUAAGUUCGCCGCCUGGGGAGUACGGUCGCAAGACUGAAACUCAAAGGAAUUGACGGGGGCCCGCACAAGCGGUGGAGUAUGUGGUUUAAUUCGAUGCAACGCGAAGAACCUUACCUGGCCUUGACAUGUCGAGAACUUUCCAGAGAUGGAUGGGUGCCUUCGGGAACUCGAACACAGGUGCUGCAUGGCUGUCGUCAGCUCGUGUCGUGAGAUGUUGGGUUAAGUCCCGCAACGAGCGCAACCCUUGUCCUUAGUUGCCAGCACGUAAUGGUGGGAACUCUAAGGAGACCGCCGGUGACAAACCGGAGGAAGGUGGGGAUGAC